rnacentral:lncRNA from 1 species
CCUCCCACCCGCCUCUGCAACUCUCUCGCCCAUUUUUUUUUCCUCUAUGAAAUAUUUUUUGCGGCGAGCGAGCCAGUGCCGUGCCAUCGGUUGUGGCAUCAGCCGUUCCUUGGCGCAGGAGCCCUCGUCUGUUCCAGCGCUCUAAUCGCAUUCCAGCAGAGGCCCGGCAGCGGCUUGCUCCGCAUUCCACAACUCUGGGGGCUUUCCAAGAGCCCUGCGCAGGCAUUCCUCUUCGCCGGGACCUUCAAAGCGAGGGAGGGACUUCAAAGGCUUCGAUGCACCCUUUGGGCCUGUGUAACAAUAACGAUGAAGAGGACUUGUACGAAUACGGCUGGGUUGGAGUGGUCAAACUGGAGCAGCCCGAGUUGGACCCCAGCUGCCUUACUGUACUGGGCAAGGUAAGGAUGCCACUCAAUGUCUUACUGUAGUAGAUUAGAUCAAAGUUCUGUUCAUAAAUGUCAAUGCAAUGUGCAUUUUGAGUGACAUUUCCCUAAAAUAGUAUUAUUUGUGCAGAUUUUCAUGUUGCCUUGCCUGCUGGUCAAAUGCAGUUCUGGCAGCAUGGAUUCCACUUUGAUGCAUACAGUUUUUCAAGCCCUGUUGAAUGGUUUUGUUGUUGGAGACUGUCAUACAGUACUAUCCAAAUAGUUUCACCUGAUUUGUGGAACUGCUGUGAUGUCACAUGGUAAAAUGCUUUCAGUGUGGUGGUGUUGGCUACCAUUGCGCUUUUUAGACACACUGAACAAAUCCAGAUCCAGAUGAAGCGUUUCCUAAUUGGCUGAGCUUUCUGCAGUCUCAGGACACCAAUAUCUGUUUGCAUGUUUGAUCUUUUUAUGGGGAAAUUUGAAGAUUUCCACACAUUUAUACUCAGCAGGACGCUCUUGCUCUAAAACGGCUAAAUAUUUUCCCAUGUCUAAUGCUGGAAUGGGCUUAACGUAACACAUGACACACUCUCCCGUUUGGAUUCUCAUGGAGAUGUUCUUAAUUAAUCAGCAUUCAUUUAGCUUUCUGCUGUCGUCUUAUUGGCACAUGGGAAGUUAGUGCACACUGUGUGAUUUUUAGCUUUUUUAAGACUUUGUUUUAAGACCGUUUUAAGAUCUUUGAUUUCAGCUUAGCGUAAAACCAACACAGAUAGCAUUCAAAACAAAAAUCUGAAUAUCAGCGGAUAUGAUUUCUGGAAAGUUCACGUUAGGUGAACGGGGUUAAACACAUUCCAUUUCUUUUUCUUUCUUAAUAAUGGGAUAGAAAAACAUCCUCCCCUUCUUUUGUGCCAGUGCUAUAAUUAGAGAGUCGGCUGUCAUAAUCGGGCGUCUGAUAUAGGCCUGCGCUCGGCUGGGGUUCUCUUUCUAGUCCCGGCAUCGGUGUCUGUCCGGUCUCACCAGCAUCCCUUUGACCCGCUUGUGCCAGUGUGUCCCUGCUGUGCCACCCCUGCCCUUAUUUUUGUUUUUCUUCUCCUUUCACGGUCUCUUUUAUCUUUCUGCUGUUGUCUGAACAUGCAUUCGUUCAUGCAUUUUUUUUUUUCAAAAAAAUUAUUCAAGAUUUCUAGAAAAAUAUUAGGCAGCAUAGUUGCAUACAAAAUUGUGUUCUUUUCCCUCCGGUAACUAAAUCAGUGUUUGGUUGAAAUAAGUAACCUUGUGAUGUUCAGUUCUGUUUAUGGCUUUCAAACAUCUGCUAUUCUUUCACUGAUAUGGAUUUCACACUGUAUUAAACAUAUGCAAUAGAAGUGUGAUAGCUGUUGUUAUUAUAGUCAGCA